AAUCAACGCUGGCGGCGUGCCUCAGACAUGCAAGUCGAACGCGAAAUCUCCCUUCGGGGAGAGAGUAGAGUGGCGCACGGGUGAGUAACACGUAGGUAAUUUGCCUUCGGGUGGGGAACAACUCAGGGAAACUUGAGCUAAUACCGCAUAAUGCAGCGGCUCGACAUCGAGACAGUUGUUAAAGCGGGGGAUCGCAAGACCUCGCGCCUGAAGAGAAGCCUGCGGCAGAUUAGCUAGUUGGUAAGGUAAUGGCU
rnacentral:rRNA from 1 species